rnacentral:rRNA from 1 species
GAUGAACGCUGGCGGCGUGCCUAAUACAUGCAAGUCGAGCGAACAGACGAGGAGCUUGCUCCUCUGACGUUAGCGGCGGACGGGUGAGUAACACGUGGAUAACCUACCUAUAAGACUGGGAUAACUUCGGGAAACCGGAGCUAAUACCGGAUAAUAUAUUGAACCGCAUGGUUCAAUAGUGAAAGACGGUUUUGCUGUCACUUAUAGAUGGAUCCGCGCCGCAUUAGCUAGUUGGUAAGGUAACGGCUUACCAAGGCAACGAUGCGUAGCCGACCUGAGAGGGUGAUCGGCCACACUGGAACUGAGACACGGUACAGACUCCUACGGGAGGCAGCAGUAGGGAAUCUUCCGCAAUGGGCGAAAGCCUGACGGAGCAACGCCGCGUGAGUGAUGAAGGUCUUCGGAUCGUAAAACUCUGUUAUUAGGAAAGAACAAAUGUGUAAGUAACUAUGCACGUCUUGACGGUACCUAAUCAGAAAGCCACGGCUAACUACGUG